CUCAGAAUCCAUAAUAUCUAGAAUUUUUAUCUGCAUAAUUGCCUCUGUUUCUCUGUAUAUAUGUUUAUUUAGUAAAGGUUGAGAAAGAGCUUUGUGAAUGGUCAGUGUAAAUUGUUCAUCAAAAGGUAACAGGAAAACCAGAGUCUUUACGAUGAAAAAGAACUAUGAGAUUAUCUCUACCAAAGGGUCAGAAAGGCUUUGAAGAUGAAGUGCUGGAUGUCACUUCACUCUUUUUUCUCUUUUUCCAAACUUCAGUUUAGAAAUCUGGAUGUUCUUUCCAACCAGGUUGGAAAGUAAAGAUGAUUAAAUAAGAUUAAUUCCUGUAGGUAGUAAUGCAGUGGGCUCAAGUGGGAGUUGCUGGUUAUUCUGUACUUCUGAAAAUUUCCAUCCGAAGAGAACAAUAAGCUGGCUCUGUAAGUUGGAGUGGCCGUAGCCAUGGAAAGAACCCAAAAGCAUGGAAAGAACCAAAAAGCACUGUGCGUUGUUUUCAUCGAAGUCACGUGGCAAUUUCAUUAAAUCAAAAGAAAUAACUCAAAGGAAGAAGAGAUGGAAUUGCCAGGUUGCCCACUUGUGUGCUGUGACAUCCCCCAGCCUGUUCCAUGAAGCCCAUACAACACGACUUCACCAGAGCCCAGGGAAGGAAACACGGCACUUGAGAUGUGGCAUAAGCACCGGCCAGGGUGGCUUGGGCUGUUCCUCUGCAUGCUUCACAGCUGCAGGAGUGCACAGAAGAGUUCUGCUUCAGGACUUUUCAGUGAAUUGACAUCUUCGUAGCUGCAGAACUGUUAUGGCCCUCCAAGGUGGC
ensembl:lncRNA